rnacentral:rRNA from 1 species
UACGUAGGGUGCGAGCGUUGUCCGGAAUUAUUGGGCGUAAAGGGCUCGUAGGCGGUCUGUCACGUCGGGAGUGAAAACUCAGGGCUUAACCCUGAGCCUGCUUCCGAUACGGGCAGACUAGAGGUAUGCAGGGGAGAACGGAAUUCCUGGUGUAGCGGUGAAAUGCGCAGAUAUCAGGAGGAACACCGGUGGCGAAAGCGACUCUCUGGACGGCAACUGACGCUGAGGCACGAAAGCGUGGGGAGCAAACAGG